CAAUAGCGUAUAUUAAAGUUGUUGCGGUUAAAAAAGCUCGUAGUUGGAUUUCUGUCGAGGACAGCCGGUCCACACUUUGUGUGAGUAUCUGGUUUGGCCUUGGCAUCCUCUUGAAAAACAGCUCUGCGCUUGAUUGCGUGGACUGGAGUUCAAGACUUUUACUUUGAGGAAAUUAGAGUGUUCACGGCAGGCAAACGCCUUGAAUAUAUUAGCAUGGAAUAAUAAUAUAGGACCUUUGUUCUAUUUUGUUGGUUUCUAGAGCGAAGGUAAUGAUUAAUAGGGACAGUUGGGGGUAUUCGUAUUCAAUUGUCAGAGGUGAAAUUCUUGGAUUUAUGGAAGACGAACUACUGCGAAAGCAUUUACCAAGGAUGUUUUCAUUUAUCAAGAACGAAAGUUAGGGGAUCGAAGAUGAUCAGAU
rnacentral:rRNA from 1 species